GGAGGAAUCGAAAGAUAUAAGGAUUUAUUUAUUUUUUCAAUUUGAUUGGAAAAAUAGAAAAAAAAAGAAUUAUGUCUUUCCGAUGCCUCCCA